rnacentral:misc_RNA from 1 species
GGCCUGUGAAAAAAAAGUAAACAUUGGCCGCUACAUGCAGUGGACACUUGUUGAUCAGUGUUGAUAGGGUUUCAGCGAUGGAUUUUGUGCGGCAGAUGUUCACUGAACUCUGAUUUGUAUAAAUACACGUGUGCCUUUCGCAGUGGUGAAAAUAAUGCACAUUAUCGAUCUGAAAUAUGGAGAUCAGAUUUAUCGUGUGUGUGCAAAAAGACCGCAGACGGUAGCGUGGGCAGUUUCACAUUUUCUCCAUCCGCAUUGGCAUUGUUAAUCUGUUAAUGCUGCACAGUGCACAUUACACGCAUUUCAAGUUGGCAGGCCGCACCAAGUUCAAUUGCUGACUGCUUUACGUUCAUUAUUCAACCCAGGCUACUUUUGAUUUUUGUGCUACCGAUAAUUCCUCAUUUUGGGUGUGUAGACUCCUUUAUCGCAAAGUUGAACAAAAUCUUCUGACAGCAAAAAUGAAACUAGAUAUCCGUUCGCCCGAUGCGUUGAUUGUACUGACACUACUGCUGACGUUACUUCGAGAUGCCUUUUCCGACGUUCCCUUCCCAAAGGACCAGCGAGAGAUCAAGUUUCCACCCGAUAUUCCCAAGCCUCGGCCAGGCUCCAGCGUACCGACCGGCCAUCUCAGACCAUUCGGGUUCCAGAGAAGACCAGAGGGUCGCGUUCAUGAAUACAACCACUUCCUGCAUCCCUUUGAGUUCUACGAAACUCACGUGAGUAAGCGGAAACCGGUGGUGUUUCGCCAGACCAUCACGGACUCACCGGCUAUGCAGAAAUGGAGCGACGAGUAUUUGAGGGAAAAUUAUGGGGACCUGGACGUUCUUGUGGAAGUCAAAAAGGAAAAUCGGGAAUUGCGGCCGAAGCGCAUGAAGUUUGCCGAAUUCUUGAAGCGCUACAUGACGGACAGCGUGUACAUUGUGUCUUUAAUCCCGCAAGAAAUGGCCCACGAAGUUAAAGUUCCGGAGAGCCUGUUGUGUGGGACGUUCAGACGGCGUCUCCUGGAGACCAAUCUCUGGAUGAGUAGUGGCGGGACAGCCUCUGUGAUCCACUAUGAUGCCGAUCAUAACAUCCACUGCCUGCUGGCCGGACGCAAGGACUUCAUCAUGAUCGAUCCCAAGUAUUCCAAGGAAUUGGAACUCACGGAGGAGCACCACAUGACAGGCUCAGGUUAUUCCAAGCUUGACGUGGACAUGAUCAAUCUCUUUGAGCACCGAGACGUAGGCAAGGUGCCAUGGAGAUGGAGCACGUUGAAGCCUGGUGACUGCAUCUAUAUCCCUGCAGGCCACUUGCACCAAGUCCGUUCCUACAGCCGCAGCCUCUCCGCAACAAUCCUGUUUGCCUCUGAGCCGACCUUCGACCAAUCAGACUGUGCAGAUGCGACCUUCGAAUACACUGACCUGACCCAGGUCAGGGUAAUGUGGACCUACAAGAAAGGCGAUAAGGUGAUAGAAAUUGGCUACAUGGACACGGAGAACAUCCGCAAUGACAUGAUCUCACUCCUGAAGGAAAAGGACAAGUUGUCGGCGCACUGGUUCGGCCAUUACUUCAAAGGAAUGAGCGCCAUGGAAGACGAAGAAGUGGCCACAGAAGACGAAGACAUCCCUAUAGAAGCAUAUGAGAUUUUUGCCACCUUCGACACAGAAAACAAGGGGUACCUGACCCGCAAGCAGAUCGAAGAGAUCGAUGUUGAAAAACUCAAGAACUUUGCCCGGGUCCUGGACCAGCCAAGCGGCCCGGUUGUCGUUGAGGUGGAGCAUGAUGAACUUUAACCUUUGACCUGACCUGUGACCUCAUCAGUCACAAAGUCAACAAAAGCAAUAUUUGAGUACUUAUAUUUUGCUGCCUUGAGAUAAUUUUAUUGGAAAACCAGCUCAGUACUUAUUAAAAACUGUCUAUAUCGAAUAUUUUCUGUUCAAGCUUCUUUGAAAAAAAUCUAGUAUAAGUUUUAAUUGAUUAAUUAGAUUAAUCGUUAGUGAGCUUCUAUUUGGCAUUUAUGAUGAGAUGGUCAUUAUUAAGCAAGCACACUUUAAAUUCUAUGACGACGUCCACGCCAGGAAGAACAGGCCCACGUACUCUGAAUGAAAUUGGAAGUAAUGGACACCAUUUGCAAAAACUGGUGUUUUUUUUGCCAAUUCAAGGAGCAACAUGAUAAUAAAUCUGAAGCAGGUCAUACAAAAACUGGCAACAUUUAAGCUCAUAGAUAUACUUUUUUUAGAAAACUUUGAAGAUGCAUCUUAAAUUUUUGUUGACGUAGUGCAUAGGUUUCCGUUGCGAGUGGGAUGGUUUGAUCCUUACCAUCACAUGGAAAUGAUGGUAGUUCCUCUUUUCUCGCAAAUGAUAUAGGUGCAACGACCUCACAUGAUGCUUGAUCCCAUUAUUUACUUACAUUUUUACAACCAAGUAUAGGAUAUUUAUGAUACUUUGACAGUACCUUUUUAUAAUGUUUGAAAACCGUGUCCAUUACAAUGCCAGUCCCUUAGUCUGCUUUCGUGAAUUGUGGCCAAUGAGCAAUUCUCAUCUCUGUGCACCAUGAAGAUUUAUUUAUUUAGUACAAAUCAAAAGUGCUUUCUUUGGUCUCAUCCGAUUUGUUCGUUAUAUUUUUACAAAGCUGUAUGUGAAUGAUGCUGAUUCUGUCCUCAUGUCAAAUGUUUUUAUGGUAAACGUGCUUCCGAUUUUUAGACUCUUUUUACAGAAAUGAUUUAUUUUAGACCUAUAUAUAGCCUUUAUAUCGUAGAGAAUUUAAGGUGGAGGUUGCAAUAAAGUAGAGUUCACGGGGGAAAAAUUACACUAAAUUCUGAUGUGUUUUCCAAGACACUGCAUAUGCUUUGAUUAAAAAAUAUUAUCAACAUUCCUAAAAAACAUUCUAGUUUUGUCAUGAUCAAGAAUAGGGAAGGACAGCACUAUUGUGUUGAGUGUUGACUACACAGCCAUACAGUAAACAAUGAUAAUCAUAGUUAAAAUAAUUUGAAGGGUACAUUUUUGCUGUUUUCGAGGUGAAAGUUGUAAAUAGCAUGGGGUUGAAAUCUCAAUAAGUCAAACAUCAGGGGAAUGGGCUCAAAUUUUGAGUUAAGCAGAGUUUUGAGUUAAUAAAUGGAUUUUCUUUUCAACAACAAGUGACGGGAAUAAGGUCUUACUUUGAGUGAGAAGGGUUUUUGAGUUAACAGUUUUUGACUUAUCGAGAUUUCACUGUACCUGUAAAUUCCUUUGACACGCUGACGAAGAAAUAUGUUUGAAAUAAAAUAAUGAAUUGUUGCAGAAUUAAAGUGAUGUUCAUGAAUUUACAGAUUGCAAAAUCAUUUUAGUCUUUUGGAAUGAAAUCGGCUUUAUGUCUUUGCUUGCCAACUAGUAACAAUUAAUCUUACUGCUAAUUGGGCAAACCUUAUGUCAGCAAAACAUUUGACAAAGUUUUCGUGUACAAAAUAUAUUUUCCUUUUCUUAAA